rnacentral:rRNA from 1 species
UGGGGAAUAUUGGACAAUGGGGGGAACCCUGAUCCAGCCAUGCCGCGUGUGUGAAGAAGGCCUUAUGGUUGUAAAGCACUUUAAGCGAGGAGGAGGCUCUCUUGGUUAAUACCCAAGAAGAGUGGACGUUACUCGCAGAAUAAGCACCGGCUAACUCUGUGCCAGCAGCCGCGGUAAUACAGAGGGUGCGAGCGUUAAUCGGAUUUACUGGGCGUAAAGCGUGCGUAGGCGGCUUUUUAAGUCGGAUGUGAAAUCCCCGAGCUUAACUUGGGAAUUUCAAUUGAAACUGGGAAGGUAGGGGAUUGGAGAGGAUGGUAGGAAUCCAGGUGUAGCGGUGAAAUGCGUAGAGAUCUGGAGGAAUACCGAUGGCGAAGGCAGCCAUCUGGCCUAAUACUGACGCUGAGGUACGAAAGCAUGGGGAGCAAACAGG